rnacentral:ncRNA from 1 species
CUGUCACAACGGCUUCCUGGCGUGGCAGGCAAACCCCAAUGGAGCA